rnacentral:rRNA from 1 species
CGUCGCCGCGGUAAUACAGAGGGUGCAAGCGUUAAUCGGAAUUACUGGGCGUAAAGCGCGCGUAGGUGGUUUGUUAAGUUGGAUGUGAAAUCCCCGGGCUCAACCUGGGAACUGCAUCCAAAACUGGCAAGCUAGAGUAUGGUAGAGGGUGGUGGAAUUUCCUGUGUAGCGGUGAAAUGCGUAGAUAUAGGAAGGAACACCAGUGGCGAAGGCGACCACCUGGACUGAUACUGACACUGAGGUGCGAAAGCGUGGGGAGCAAACAGGAUUAGAUACCCCAGUAGUCCCUGUCUCUUAUACC